UGGCGGCGAUAGCGCGGUGGUCCCACCUGACCCCAUGCCGAACUCAGAAGUGAAACGCCGUAGCGCCGAUGGUAGUGUGGGGCUUCCCCAUGUGAGAGUAGGGAACUGCCAGGUU
rnacentral:rRNA from 3 species